GACGAACGCUGGCGGCGUGCUUAACACAUGCAAGUCGAACGAAGUGGCGAACGGGUGAGUAACGCGUAAUCAACCUGCCCUUCAGAGGGGGACAACAGUUGGAAACGACUGCUAAUACCGCAUACUGAAGGAGGGGAUUGCGUCUGAUUAGCUAGUUGGAGGGGUAACGGCCCACCAAGGCGAUGAUCAGUAGCCGGUCUGAGAGGGUGGACGGCCAAAUGUGGACGGAGACACGGCCCAGACCCCUACGGGAGGCAGCAGUGGGGAAUCUUCCGCAAUGGACGAAAGUCUGACGGAGCAACGCCGCGUUAGUGAUGACGGCCUUCGGGUUGUAAAGCUCUGUUAAUCGGGACGCGGUACCGGAAUAGAAAGCCACGGCUAACUACGUGCCAGCAGCCGCGGUAAUAC
rnacentral:rRNA from 1 species